UUUUUUUAAUUGAAGCGAGCACGAGAUUUUAGGAGGCGUUCGAAUUCAAUAUGGAGGCUGUGCUGACGAAAAGGGGCGAAACUUGCAGAUGGCACUACUGAAGGUUUUCUACAUAUCAAACUAAGAAUCGAUAAAGCUCUAAAUUGUUACUGUGGAAUUAAAUCAAAUAUCUUGUAUGAUCGGUCCCAACAUAAGCAUAACCUUUUCUCCUUUUAUCAUUUCAACAAAUUGGUUCUGGAAGAAAAAUGUGUGAGGCGUUUAUCCCAACCUAAAAUCCAUACGCCACAACCUUCAUGCUGGCUUUCCAGAUCAGACAACAUUUCAUCUUUCCAUGUGCUCUCUUCCUAAAUUCUAGCAAACAAGUGCGCGUAAGCGUAUUACCAAGGUAAGCAGAUGGUCAACGAAUGCACACACAAAUGCUGGAAAGUGUUUCGAUUGCCAAAUCAGAAAGUUGCCGACUCGAGUCAGUUGCAUCGUACCGAGACGUUUUCAUCUUUCGGUAGCUCAUCUAAAUUUUAUUUUCACGAUCAACCUGCCAGUUUUUGUGGUACAUAGAUACAUUUAGUAACUCAAAAUUCCUUUGUCUUGUAAAGAAAGAGCUAAAGCUUUCCUUCUCGCCCAUGGGAGAUUUGAGACGGUUUGUCGGGUUUUGUGAAAUAGAAACCGGCUCAAAACCGACAGUCUGCCUUGAUAAUUUCACGCUUAUUUGCCUUUGUCUUUGACUUGUUUUUGCGUGCGUUCAUUUUUAAAAAUUUUAUCUCUACGCACCUGCAGGCAUAUUGACGGUAUAAAAACCGCUUGAUAAUGCAAACAAUGCAAACACUUGGCAGUUAAACAUCAAAGGAGUCAGAUCAACACAAAAUGAAGCUUGUCUUUUUGUUGUUUGCAUUGUUCGUUUUGGUCGCAAUGGUCUCAGCGGUGCCACAUGAUGGUAAAAAGGGCGAAUCUCGUUCCGUGGGUAAGUCCCACGCCCACGUGAAGGAGUCCCAUGGUCACGCGAAGGAAUCCCAUCAUAAGGCUCACAAGGCUAAAGCUCACGUUCCAAAACAUAACGCUCCUAAACAUCAUGCUCUUAAAGCUCACAAAGCCAAAGACAUCAAAUCAAAGGCACACAAAGGUCACUGAUUCCAACACUUGCCAUCCGUUAAUUUUCAGUGGCUUUUAAAUAAUCGGAAAGAAAAUAAAUAAAAUUAGUCAUCCCACUACCAUUUUGAUUAAACUACUGCCCUUAUAUAUCCAACUGUCUCUUGCUUUUCACUGUUAUUUCCCUUUUCACUAUCAAUAUACAAUUGCUACUUGACUUAAUGUUUGCUGUAAAACCUAUUCUCGUACAGUGGCUUUUGCUAAUCUAUGAAUUUCUUGUCAGCAAACUUUAUUUACGGUUAACUGUCAUUGAAAAUAUAAAUAUCUGAAGACUG